rnacentral:rRNA from 1 species
GGAUAACUGCGGUAAUUCUGGAGCCAAUACGUGCUAAAAGACGCAUUCAGUAAUGAGUGUGUUGCAUUUAUCGGAGCAAAACCUUUCCUGGUUUUAUGCUAACUCUGGAUAACACUGCUUAUCGCAUGACCUUGUGUCGGCGAAGUUACAUUCAAGUAUCUGCCUUAUCAACUUUCGAUGGUAGUGUAUUGGACUGCCAUGGUGUUGACGGGUAACGGAGAAUCAGGGUUCGACUCCGGAGAGGGAGCCUUAGAAACGGCUACCAUGUCUAAGGACAGCAGCAGGCGCGCAACUUAUCCACUGUUCAUUGAACGAGAUAGUGACGAGAAAUAACAAGUUCGUUCUCUAUGAGGUCGAGCAUUGGAAUGGAUGGAAUCUAAACAGUUCCAUGAGUACCCACGAGAGGGCAAGUCUGGUGCCAGCAGCCGCGGUAAUUCCAGCUCUCGUAAUGUAUAGAAUUAUUGUUGCGGUUAAAAAGUUCGUAGUUGGAUUUUCGACUGUUCAAGGGUCGGCCUUAACGGGACGUACUCUUGGCAGUGUUUGCAUUUGAUUUGGAAGCAAUUUCAAAUUGAAUGCGGAUUACUUUGAACGGCUUAAGUGCUCAAGGCGAGUCUUCGGACUGAAUACCGGUGCAUGGAAUAAUGGAACAAGGUUUCGGCCGAGUUUUAUUGGUUUUGUCGGCUAAAACAAUGGUUAACAGGAACAGCUGGGGGCACUCGUAUCGCUGCGCGAGAGGUGAAAUUCGUGGACCGCAGCGAGACGCCCUAAAGCGAAGGCAUUUGCCAAGAGUGUUUUCAUUAAUCAAGAACGAAAGUCAGAGGUUCGAAGGCGAUUAGAUACCGCCCUAGUUCUGACCGUAAACGAUGCCAACUAUCAAUCCGCUAGUGGCUUUUAGUCAUUGGCGGGCGGAUCGACGGAAACGAAAGUUUUUCGGUUCCGGGGGAAGUAUGGUUGCAAAGCUGAAACUUAAAGGAAUUGACGGAAGGGCACCACCAGGAGUGGAGCUUGCGGCUUAAUUUGACUCAACACGGGAAAUCUCACCCGGCCAGUACAUCAUAAGGAUUGACAGAUUGAAAGCUCUUUCAUGAUUUGAUGAAUGGUGGUGCAUGGCCGUUCUUAGUUCGUGGUGUGAACUGUCUGCUUAAUUGCGAUAACGAGCGAGACUCCGACUGUUAAAUAGUGGAAGGUUUAUUAUUGACCUUUACAUUUCUUAACGGGAUUCGCAACUUCAAGUUGCAAGAAAUGGAGCAAUAACAGGUCUGUGAUGCCCUUAG